rnacentral:piRNA from 1 species
UACAAUAUCACAUAUUGCUUGGUUGGGGGU